GGUUACAUAUCGAUGAAUUCUGAUGCCCGAUUAUCCAUCGGAUUUGGACUCAAUAUUUAUGAGAGAUUUAAUUAGUGAUUUGAUCACUAAUUAACUCAAUUUAAUUGAGUAAUUAUUUUUGGAUCAAGUCCAAUUGAAUUGGAUUCAGUUGGGUCUGACCCGAUUAGGUUAAGAGUUGACCUAAUCGUCGAGAUAGUUUGGUCCC
rnacentral:lncRNA from 1 species